GAGCAAUAUCACAGCAUGCUGAGAGAAAUUGAGCAACUGAAAGAGCAGCUCCGAUCCUGUAGUCUUCAAAAGCCGUUUGGACUGGAACGUUUUUCUACGUCACCAGAAGACAUCAGAUUUUACACCAGGUUCCCCUCAUAUGAGCAUCUGAAGGCGUUUUGGAACUUGAUCGAGGCAGCAACAGCCAAAAUGGUCAGGGUCACCAGAGCAAAGAAAACCGACGUCAUGAGUACAACAACUGAAACCCCUUUUACCAGACCAACUAAACUGCUGCCAAUAGAUGAGCUUUUUCUUUUCCUCUCCUACCUGUCUACUGGAUGUACCCAGAGGGAACUGGGCCAUCGAUUUAACAUCCACAGAGCAACAGUCAGCCGCAUUAUUGUGACAUGGGCCAACUUCCUGUACUGCUUAUUGGGCUCAAUUUGUGUGUGGAUGUCUCCUGCAGCUGUGAGUUCCAGUCUUCCACAGGAUUUUGAUGGCCGCUACAGUGACACACAAGUUAUCCUGGACUGUACAGAACUACGGUGUCAAACACCUUCAUCCCAAAA